ACACCAGUAUACUUUGAAAGUUUACAUUGCUUGGGGUAACAAUCAUAUUUCUCCUAGUUUUCUCAGUAUUGACCUGCACUGAGUACACCUUGACCAACCAUUACUUAUUAUGAUGGUCCCGCAUACACCGUGAAGAUGAAAAAGUCAAUGGCGCCAUUUAGCCAUGGAGGUCAAGAAUAGUGGCGCCACUAGUCACUCCUCUGCCAUCCACCACACCAUCAACACCUCCAGUUCUUCCAGUCCCAUCACCCUGUGAUAUUGUUUUGGGGGUGUUGCUGCCGUUGACAUCACUGAAGACUUGCAGCUGCCCACAACAUGGACUUCACCACACAGCAGCUGCCCACAACAUGGACAAUAUCUUCAACCUACAAGAUUCGAUAAACUUAAGAGCAGUAAUCAAAAUGUAAUAAAUAGUCUUUACUGUAAAAAAAAAAAAUGUUCAAGGAACACACAAAAGGUGUUCAAAGAACACAAAAAGGAAAUAAAUGAGACAAGCCUCAA